AAAACAGCAGAGACAGUGGUGAGGUCUCAGGCAGAGGCUGCUGUUUGAGCAUUUCAGUACCACAGCCAACUGGAAACCAAUCACAAUUGGGAAACUUGGAGCUCUGCAGGAGAAAUCUAAGCUUCUAAGAGGUUGCAGCUAGACUGCUGGACUGCUGUGUACAUCCUGUGAUAGAUCAGACAAAUUUGGGCAUGUCUGAAGAGCAGCUAGGGGGCCUGGAUGGAUCCACCGAAACACUUUGCAUCCUCAGCUUUCUGGGGGUUGGCCUUCUUUCUGUGAUUUGCAGAAGAUCAUCCAAAACUGCUUGGCUAACUUGUUCUCCAGAGGACCGAGUGUGACAAUGUCGAGUUUUGAUGGCUUCAGCAAGUAGAAACCUGACUGCUUCCCAGAGCAGGAUGACUCUGCUUCCCCCGGGGCCUUUGUCAGUUCCUCCCACUGUGCUUAUGGGCAAGGAGCCGCUCCUGUCUGAUUCUGAAACUUGCUUCUGUAUUUUGAAAAAGAUCAGAACUGCUGAACGAAAAAAGCUCCACU